UACGAAGGGGGCUAGCGUUGUUCGGAAUUACUGGGCGUAAAGCGCACGUAGGCGGACUAUUAAGUCAGGGGUGAAAUCCCGGGGCUCAACUCUGGAACUGCCUUUGAUACUGGGUGUCUUGAGUAUGAUAGAGGUAUGUGGAACUCCGAGUGUAGAGGUGAAAUUCGUAGAUAUUCGGAAGAACACCAGUGGCGAAGGCGGCUCACUGGCCCGGUACUGACGCUGAGGCACGAAAGCGUGGGGAGCAAACAGG
rnacentral:rRNA from 1 species